rnacentral:tRNA from 1 species
AGCUGAGUGGCUCAGUGGUAGAGUGCUUGCCUCACAUGCAUGGGGCCAAGUUCGAUUCCUCAGCAC